GACGAACGCUGGCGGCGUGCCUAAUACAUGCAAGUAGAACGCUGAAGGAGGAGCUUGCUCUUCUGGAUGAGUUGCGAACGGGUGAGUAACGCGUAGGUAACCUGCCUGGUAGCGGGGGAUAACUAUUGGAAACGAUAGCUAAUACCGCAUAACAGUAGAUGUUGCAUGACAUUUACUUAAAAGGUGCAAUUGCAUCACUACCAGAUGGACCUGCGUUGUAUUAGCUAGUUGGUGGGGUAACGGCUCACCAAGGCGACGAUACAUAGCCGACCUGAGAGGGUGAUCGGCCACACUGGGACUGAGACACGGCCCAGACUCCUACGGGAGGCAGCAGUAGGGAAUCUUCGGCAAUGGACGGAAGUCUGACCGAGCAACGCCGCGUGAGUGAAGAGGGGUUUCGGAUCGUAAAGCUCUGUUGUAAGAGAAGAACGAGUGUGAGAGUGGAAAGUUCACACUGUGACGGUAUCUUACCAGAAAGGGACGGCUAACUACGUG
rnacentral:rRNA from 1 species